AUCCAAUGAUUCCUAUACAACAGCGGCAAUGCGUGCGGUCCAUCAAAUCGCUGUUGGUUAUAUGUCAACAAUCUGUGAUAAUUUAUAUAUGCUAAUAAAUAAUAAAUGCAAUAGGAAUUAACAGAAUAUAAACUAGAAUACGAAUUAUAAAAACAAACAACUUGAAGAUAGAGGCUUGCAUACCGCAAUGUCCUUGAAACAGAAAUUUCGUCCCUACUCUGUGCUUGUAGUUCUACGGACGUCUGCUUCACCAGGAUUCAACGAUCAAGUUAAAAUUCCAGCACCGGAAAAUUUAACUUCUGGCGAAUUUAGUGUGGUUCUCUCAGUAAGAAGGUUUAGGAAUGUAGAAGAUGAAGUUGAUUACUUUCUGUGUUUUAGAUGCUAUGCAGAUGAAUGUAUAUAUAGCAGAUGGAUGCCUGUUUGCAACAGGUAUGAGAAUGGGGUGUGACUGUUGGGAGACAUCUCUUCAGAGGGGUGCUUUGCUCUGUGUUCAGAAAGAACUCUCAGACUUCAUCUGAAAGGAUGAGUCUUUUCAUAAAAAAUAAAUAAUUAAUUAAAUUCGAAUUUAAUUAAAAAAUAAUUAAGUAAAUCCGAAAAAUAAUUAAUUAAAUAAUUUAUAUAUUAAUUAUAUAUUAAUUAUAAUUAAUUAUAAUUAAUUACCAAAUAAUUAAUACACCCCAAAGCCCAACCCCAAGGGUGAGCCCAAUUUUAGUCUCCAGGCCUAUUACUCCAAUCACUUUCUUUAAAGGACAAAGCCUUAUAAAGUGAUAAAAUAUUUUGGGAAUGGCCAAUGUGG
rnacentral:lncRNA from 1 species